CCAUGGGGCAGGACCGCAACACUCCUCACCACCUCAACUCCCUGCACCUGCAUUUAACAUACGGAGAGUUACUCAAGGAACGGCAGUCUCUCCUCAACUCCCUCCACCCCCACACCAGCCCUCAACGUGCAGCGAACAGAGGAGCUUUGUGCUGUGAGGAAAAACAUGGUGACACGGUCUGCCACGGACACUGAGGUCACCAAACACGCAAUCAGGUGUUUCAACCGGCGGUGGAUCGGGCAACGAGGAGAUGUGUUCCGCCUCCAUCCACACAAAUGGAGUAAUAGGAGAAAUAAGCAUUAAACAAUCUUUUU